UGGAACUUCAAAGAUCUCCAGCCUUCUCAAGGACCAGAUUUGCUUGGUUCUGGGGCAAUUAAUGAUGAAACUGCUUUUAAAAGAAAUGGCCCUUGAACUUGCCACAGGGCAUUUAAUGCAGACUUACUGCCAUACGGUGCUGCUUUCUCAGCUGCUUCACCCGUAUUUGGUCCAGGUUCGUAGCAACAUCCUUUUCAGGCUGAUCUAAGUCUUCAGCGUAUCUUUGCACCAAAGGCUCAGGAAUCCCACAACGGCCAUGCUGCAGAUUUUCAGAUGGAGAUCCAAGUUAUAAUGAAAUGAGCAACAUUCUAGUUAAUCAAAGUGUUCCUUCAGGAUAUCUUCCUUACUGAAGAAGGAUCUAGCUUUAGCACAUGUUGCUGGACACUAGCUGUUUCUGGAAGGUCUGACAGCCAAGGAGGCC